UGCAAGUCGAACGCCGUAGCAAUACGGAGUGGCAGACGGGUGAGUAACGCGUGGGAACAUGCCCUUUGGUUUGGAAUAACUCAGGGAAACUUGAGCUAAUACCGGAUAAGCCCGAGAGGGGAAAGAUUUAUCGCCGAAGGAUUGGCCCGCGUCCGAUUAGCUAGUUGGUGAGGUAAAGGCUCACCAAGCCGACGAUCUGUAGCUGGUCUGAGAGGACGACCAGCCACACUGGAACUGAGACACGGUCCAGACUCCUACGGGAGGCAGCAGUGGGGAAUUUUGGACAAUGGGCGCAAGCCUGAUCCAGCAAUGCCGCGUGCAGGAAGAAGGCCUUCGGGUUGUAAACUGCUUUUGUACGGAACGAAACGACUCUGGUUAAUACCCGGGGUUAAUGACGGUACCGUAAGAAUAAGCACCGGCUAACUACGUGCCAGCAGCCGCGGUAAUACGUAGGGUGCAAGCGUUAAUCGGAAUUACUGGGCGUAAAGCGUGCGCAGGCGGUGAUGUAAGACAGUCGUGAAAUCCCCGGGCUCAACCUGG
rnacentral:rRNA from 1 species